rnacentral:tRNA from 1 species
AGGAAUGUAGCUCAGUGGCACAGUGCCUGCCUGGCAAGCAUGAGGCCCUGAGUUCGAUUCCCAGUACUG